rnacentral:tRNA from 1 species
GAUUAGAAAGUGAAUUAUCACGUUUAGUUUCGGCCUAAGGUUUGGCCAGAGGGCCUCUAAUUU